rnacentral:rRNA from 1 species
GACGAACGCUGGCGGCGUGCUUAACACAUGCCAGUCGAACGGAAAGGCCCUGCUUUUGUGGGGUGCUCGAGUGGCGAACGGGUGAGUAACACGUGAGUAACCUGCCCUUGACUUUGGGAUAACUUCAGGAAACUGGGGCUAAUACCGGAUAGGAGCUCCUGCUGCAUGGUGGGGGUUGGAAAGUUUCGGCGGUUGGGGAUGGACUCGCGGCUUAUCAGCUUGUUGGUGGGGUAGUGGCUUACCAAGGCUUUGACGGGUAGCCGGCCUGAGAGGGUGACCGGCCACAUUGGGACUGAGAUACGGCCCAGACUCCUACGGGAGGCAGCAGUGGGGAAUAUUGCACAAUGGGCGGAAGCCUGAUGCAGCAACGCCGCGUGCGGGAUGACGGCCUUCGGGUUGUAAACCGCUUUCGCCUGUGACGAAGCGGGAGUGACGGUAAUGGGUAAAGAAGCACCGGCUAACUACGUG